GAUGAACGCUGGCGGCGUGCCUAAUACAUGCAAGUCGAGCGAACAGACGAGGAGCUUGCUCCUCUGACGUUAGCGGCGGGCGGGUGAGUAACACGUGGAUAACCUACCUAUAAGACUGGGAUAACUUCGGGAAACCGGAGCUAAUACCGGAUAAUAUAUUGAACCGCAUGGUUCAAUAGUGAAAGACGGUUUUGCUGUCACUUAUAGAUGGAUCCGCGCCGCAUUAGCUAGUUGGUAAGGUAACGGCUUACCAAGGCAACGAUGCGUAGCCGACCUGAGAGGGUGAUCGGCCACACUGGAACUGAGACACGGUCCAGACUCCUACGGGAGGCAGCAGUAGGGAAUCUUCCGUAAUGGGCGAAAGCCUGACGGAGCAACGCCGCGUGAGUGAUGAAGGUCUUCGGAUCGUAAAACUCUGUUAUUAGGGAAGAACAAAUGUGUAAGUAACUAUGCACGUCUUGACGGUACCUAAUCAGAAAGCCACGGCUAACUACGUG
rnacentral:rRNA from 1 species